rnacentral:rRNA from 1 species
GGUGUUUAUUGCGUCGAGGUCCCACCUGUUCCCAUUCCGAACACAGAAGUUAAGCUCGAUUGCGUCGAAAAUACUUGGUUGGCAACGACCUGGGAAAAUAGAU